AGAGAGAGACAUGCGCGCAUAUCAAUAAGCGGAGGAAAAGAAACUAACAAGGAUUCCCUUAGUAACGGCGAGUGAAGCGGGAAGAGCUCAAAUUUGAAAUCUUCAAGGUUUUACCUUGACGAAUUGUAGUUUAAAGAAGUGUUUUCUGCUGAAGUUUUGGUAAAAGUUCUUUGGAAUAGGACAUCAUAGAGGGUGAGAAUCCCGUAUUUGACCAUUAUUUCAGCUUUGUGAUACACUUUCAAAGAGUCGGAUUGUUUGGGAAUGCAGUCCAAAAUGGGUGGUAAAUUUCAUCUAAAGCUAAAUAUUGGCGAGAGACCGAUAGCGAACAAGUACCGUGAGGGAAAGAUGAAAAGAACUUUGAAAAGAGAGUUAAACAGUACGUGAAAUUGUCAAAAGGGAAGCGUUUGACACCAGUGUUGUUUUCUCGAAAAUCAAUUAAAAAUGGCUCGAUUUUGUAUUGCUUGAGACCUUAAAAGCUCACUGUACAUUUUUCGUGUCUUUUUUAAUGCACUUUUCGUUUAACAAGUCAACAUCAGUUUCUUUUGUUGUAAAAGGGUCAUUGGAAGGUGGCUUUCUUUUCGGAGAAAGUGUUUAUAGCCUUUGGCCUCUGCAAUCGAAGAGAUUGAGGUCUGCAGCGUAGACUCUUCGGGGUUAGAUACAUUUGUGCUAAGUUAUAGCUUUUUAUAGACAACUUGUUGACUAUAAUUAGUCUUGUAGCUUACUCGCUUAUGCUAUUUUACCUACGCUUAGGAUGUUGAAGAUGUAGCACAUCAU
rnacentral:rRNA from 1 species